AGAGUCCUCUUGUCCACUCCCACAUGCCUCUGGCUUCAACCCAGGCAGCGCCACAGGUGGAGAGGCAGCCCGAAGCAACAAGGCUACAUCUAGAAACGCCUUCCUCGGGGAAGGCCCGGCAGGGAGCUCCAGCCCUGACAGCGGCCUAGGGAGGAGCGGCCAGCUAGGAUGCCCGGUGCCGCGGAACUGCUAAGGAAAAGAAACAAAGAGGCUGCACUUUUGGACCAUAUUUAUUCAGACUUCCAUCCAGACCAAGAGUUUCCAUACUCAGGACACCACCCUUAUGCAGCCUGACCUUCUAUGACCCCUCAGUGUGAACCGCAAGCUUAGCACCUCCAGGCUUUAUUCACUCAUGGAUCCCACGUACCUGCAACAGUAUCUGGCACAUAGACACAGAGGUCACUAUUCCUAUUUCACAGUUGGAGAAAUUGACUCCUUGACUUGGCCAGGAUCACACAACUCCUGUUUUUUACCAGACCUUGUGCUCCCAUUCCAGCACCUUUUCCAGCGCAGAGUUCACUCGCAC